CGCCGUCGCAUUGUGCUCUUUCGAGUUGUUGUUGCUGCCAUGCUUCCUCGUCAUUGUGCUUCCUUGUCGUCCUGCUCUUCUGAGUUAUAGGUGAAACUACAGCAGCUACAACAGAACAAAGACUUGUCUGUGCUUAUUGCUUUGGAGAAAAUUGAUGAACUAUUGAUGCAAAACCCAGAAAUUGCAUCUGAUAUUUCUCCAAAUGAUCUAAUUGGUGUCAUAUUUGGUAAAGAGCAUCCAUGUCGUGUUAGAGGAUUAUCAUUGGGAGCUUGUCCUACCCUUGCUUUUAAGCAUACCACCACAAGGCUAAGUGGUGUCACCUUUGGUUCAACUAGUGCAAGUGCAGAAAAUAUGGAAGAAAAGUUUGCAGAUAUGCAAAAUGAACUUGCAACUGUUAAAUCUCAAAUGCAAACACUUCUUUCUUAUAUUGCUAGAGGAUGCAACAUACCUGAAGAUUUGGCUGCUAUGGCUGCUGGCUUAGUUCAUACUUCUGUUAAUCAAGUAUGUAAUUAAAUAGUUGAAAAUGAUUGAGUUAAGAAAUGUGCAUAUGUUGUCUUAGUUUUAUUGUAUU